AACGAACGCUGGCGGCAGGCCUAACACAUGCAAGUCGAACGCUCGUAGCAAUACGAGAGUGGCAGACGGGUGAGUAACACGUGGGAACCUUCCCUAUGGUUCGGAAUAGCUCAGGGAAACUUGAGCUAAUACCGCAUGACAUCCCCUUCACACACGAGUCGGGGAUCAAAGCCGGGGACCCUUCGGGGCCUGGCGCCUGAGGAGAAGCCCGCGCCCGAUUAGCUAGUUGGUGAGGUAAUGGCUCACCAAGGCUUCGAUCGGUAGCCGGCCUGAGAGGGCGGACGGCCACACUGGGACUGAGACACGGCCCAGACUCCUACGGGAGGCAGCAGCGGGGUAAUUUUUGUCAAUGGGGGAAACCCUGAACAAGCAACGCCGCGUGGA
rnacentral:rRNA from 1 species